rnacentral:lncRNA from 1 species
GGAGAGGAAUAUAUGUGAUGUUUGGCUGAAAGCUGGACCGGAAUGUUCGUAAAUGAGGGGCCGGUGAACGCAUUCCCGCUGUUUAGGGCAUUUAUAAUGAAUCAAAUGAUUCUCAAUAUUAAUAAAAUAUCCGACAUGGGUGAUGGACAUGAAUACAACAAUCCAUGGUUAUCCAUAAAAUCAAAUGUUUCUCAAUAUUAAUGAAUCAAAGGAUUUAAUCAAUUGAUUUUUUUCAUACAUAUCCUUCUAAAUAUUAAAAUUCGUAUGAAUAUCGCUUUAAAAUUGAUAUUUGUAUAGAUAUUUAUUUUGCGUGUAUACUCUUUAUUUUUUCUUUUUCUUGUAUAUGUGUCCCCAC